rnacentral:rRNA from 1 species
UGGGGAAUAUUGGACAAUGGGGGAAGCCCUGAUCCAGCCAUGCCGCGUGUGUGAAGAAGGCCUUAUGGUUGUAAAGCACUUUAAGCGAGGAGGAGGCUCUUCUAGUUAAUACCUAGGAUGAGUGGACGUUACUCGCAGAAUAAGCACCGGCUAACUCUGUGCCAGCAGCCGCGGUAAUACAGAGGGUGCGAGCGUUAAUCGGAUUUACUGGGCGUAAAGCGUGCGUAGGCGGCUUUUAAGUCGGAUGUGAAAUCCCCGCAGCUAAUACUUGGGAAUUGCAUUCGAUACUGGGAAGCUAGAGUAUGGGAGAGGAUGGUAGAAUUCCAGGUGUAGCGGUGAAAUGCGUAGAGAUCUGGAGGAAUACCGAUGGCGAAGGCAGCCAUCUGGCCUAAUACUGACGCUGAGGUACGAAAGCAUGGGAGC